rnacentral:rRNA from 1 species
UACGGGGGGAGCAAGCGUUGUUCGGAUUUACUGGGCGUAAAGGGCGCGUAGGCGGUCAGCACAAGUCAGUUGUGAAAUCUCCGGGCUUAACUCGGAACGGUCAAGUGAUACUGUCGCGCUAGAGUGCGGAAGGGGCAAUCAGAAUUCUUGGUGUAGCGGUGAAAUGCGUAGAUAUCAAGAGGAAUACCUGAGGUGAAGACGGGUUGCUAGGCCGACACUGACGCUGAAGCGCGAAAGCCAGGGGAGCGAACGGG